AACGAACGCUGGCGGCAUGCCUAACACAUGCAAGUCGAACGAGACCUUCGGGUCUAGUGGCGCACGGGUGCGUAACGCGUGGGAACCUGCCCUUAGGUUCGGAAUAACUCCCCGAAAGGGGUGCUAAUACCGGAUAAUGUCUUCGGACCAAAGAUUUAUCGCCUUUGGAUGGGCCCGCGUUGGAUUAGCUAGUUGGUAGGGUAAAAGCCUACCAAGGCGACGAUCCAUAGCUGGUCUGAGAGGGUGGACAGCCACACUGGGACUGAGACACGGCCCAGACCCCGACGGGGGGAAGCAGUGGGGAAUUUUGGACAAGGGGGGAAAGCCUGAUGCAGCAACGCCGGGGGAUUGAGAAGGGCUUUGGGUUUUAAAAACCUUUUGUCCGGGAAGAAAAAGACAGGACCCGGGGAAUAAGGACCGGCUAAAUACGUG
rnacentral:rRNA from 1 species